GAAAUGCGAUAAGUAAUGUGAAUUGCAGAAUUCAGUGAAUCAUCGAAUCUUUGAACGCACCUUGCGCUCCUUGGUAUUCCUUGGAGCAUGCCUGUUUGAGUAUCAUGAAUCUUCAAAGUAAAUCUUUUGUUAACUCAAUUGGUUUCUACUUUGGUAUUGGAGGUCUUUGCAGCUUCACACCUGCUCCUCUUUGUUCAUUAGCUGGAUCUCAGUGUUAUGCUUGGUUCCACUCGGCGUGAUAAGUUAUCUAUCGCUGAGGACACUGUAAAAGGUGGCCAAGGUAAAUGCAGAUGAACCGCUUCUAAUAGUCCAUUGACUUGGACAAUACUUUUAUGAUCUGAUCUCAAAUCAGGUGGGACUACCCGCUGAACUUAAGC
rnacentral:misc_RNA from 1 species